rnacentral:lncRNA from 1 species
ACCAUUCUCCACCACCACCAGUAAAAUCCCCUCCACCUCCUUAUUACUACCACUCACCACCACCACCGGUUAAAUCUCCACCACCACCAUACUACUAUCAUUCACCACCUCCUCUGGUGAAGUCUCCUCCACCACCAUACUAUUACCAUUCACCACCACCUCCAGUAAAAUCUCCUCCCCCCCCAUACUACUAUCACUCCCCACCUCCUCCAGUGAAGUCUCCUCCGCCACCUUACUAUUAUCACUCCCCACCUCCUCCAGUAAAAUCACCACCACCACCAUAUUAUUACCACUCUCCACCUCCUCCCGUGAAAUCCCCCCCACCUCCAUACUACUACCACUCACCACCCCCUCCGGUAAAAUCACCCCCACCACCAUAUUACUAUCACUCCCCACCUCCACCAGUGAAAUCCCCACCACCACCGUACUACUACCAUUCUCCACCCCCACCGGUAAAAUCUCCGCCACCACCAUACUAUUACCACUCCCCACCUCCUCCGGUGAAAUCUCUACCACCACCGUACUAUUACCAUUCACCACCUCCUCCGGUGAAAUCUCCUCCUCCACCAUACUACUAUCACUCACCUCCUCCACCAGUAAAAUCUCCUCCGCCACCGUACUAUUACCACUCUCCACCUCCUCCAGUGAAGUCGCCUCCACCUCCUUAUUACUACCACUCACCUCCUCCUCCGGUGAAAUCCCCACCACCACCAUAUUAUUACCACUCACCACCCCCACCCGUCAAAUCUCCUCCACCUCCAUAUUAUUACCACUCACCACCUCCUCCGGUGAAAUCUCCACCACCACCAUAUUAUUACCACUCACCUCCUCCUCCGGUGAAAUCUCCACCACCACCAUAUUACUACCAUUCACCUCCCCCUCCAGUCAAAUCUCCACCACCACCAUAUUACUACCAUUCACCUCCCCCUCCAGUGAAAUCCCCACCACCACCAUAUUACUACCAUUCACCACCUCCUCCAGUGAAAUCUCCACCACCACCAUACUACUACAACUCUCCACCACCACCAGUAAAAUCUCCCCCACCUCCCGUCUACAUCUACGCUUCUCCCCCACCUCCUACCCAUUACUAGGCUCGUCAAAUUCAACCAAGUUUCCCCAUUAUUCAAGUAAGUCCCAAGGCUCCAAUAUUCUAAGUAUGCUCCAUAUC